AUGGCACGCAGACAUCUUUUACAGACAGCCAGGGGCACACUACAACAUGCAGACAUAUUUUACAGACAGCCAGGGGCACACUACAACACAGACAUCAUUUACAGACAGCCAGGGGCACACUACAACACAGACAUAUUUUACAGACAGCCAGGGGCACACUACAACACAGACAUCUUUUACAGACAGCCAGGGGCACACUACAACACAGACAUCUUUUACAGACAGCCAGGGGCACAAUACAACACAGACAUAUUUUACAGACAGCCAGGGUCACACUACAACACAGACAUCUUUUACAGACAGCCAGGAGCACACUACAACACAGACAUCUUUUACAGACAGCCAGGGGCACACUACAACACAGACAUCUUUUACAGACAGCCAGGGGCACACUACAACACAGACAUCAUUUACAGACAGCCAGGGGCACACUACAACACAGACAUCAUUUACAGACAGCCAGGGGCACACUACAACACAGACAUCAUUUACAGACAGCCAGGGGCACACUACAACACAGACAUCUUUUACAGACAGCCAGGGGCACAUUACAACACAGACAUCAUUUACAGACAGCCAGGGGCACACUACAACACAGACAUCAUUUACAGACAGCCAGGGGCACACUACAACAUGCAGACAUCUUUUACAGACAGCCGCACACUACAACACACAGACAUAUUUUACAGACAGCCAGGGGCACACUACAACACAGACAUCAUUUACAGACAGCCAGGGGCACACUACAACACAGACAUCUUUUACAGACAGCCAGGGGCACAUUACAACACAGACAUCAUUUACAGACAGCCAGGGGCACACUACAACACAGACAUCAUUUACAGACAGCCAGGGGCACACUACAACAUGCAGACAUCUUUUACAGACAGCCGCACACUACAACACACAGACAUAUUUUACAGACAGCCAGGGGCACACUACAACACUCAGACAUCAUUUACAACCGAAACAUUUGUGUUAAGUGAGUCCUCCAGAUCAGAGGCAGUAGGGAUGACCAGGGAUGUUCGUAAGGGAAUUGGACCUCUUUCCUGUCCUGCUAAGCAUUGA
rnacentral:lncRNA from 8 species